GAUGCAGUGGCGAAAUGGGAACGCGCUUUCCUGACAAGAAAGUAUGAACGAGUUCGAUUCUCGUCUGCAUCU
rnacentral:tRNA from 1 species